UGGGGAAUAUUGCACAAUGGGCGCAAGCCUGAUGCAGCAACGCCGCGUGAGGGACGACGGCCUUCGGGUUGUAAACCUCUUUUGGCAGGGAAGAAGCGAAAGUGACGGUACCUGCAGAAAACGCACCGGCUAACUACGUGCCAGCAGCCGCGGUGAUACGUAGGGUGCAAGCGUUGUCCGGAAUUAUUGGGCGUAAAGAGCUCGUAGGCGGUUUGUCGCGUCUGCUGUGAAAACCCGAGGCUCAACCUCGGGCCUGCAGUGGGUACGGGCAAACUAGAGUGCGGUAGGGGAGAUUGGAAUUCCUGGUGUAGCGGUGGAAUGCGCAGAUAUCAGGAGGAACACCGAUGGCGAAGGCAGAUCUCUGGGCCGUAACUGACGCUGAGGAGCGAAAGCAUGGGGAGCGAACA
rnacentral:rRNA from 1 species